rnacentral:rRNA from 1 species
AACGAACGCUGGCGGCGUGCCUAACACAUGCAAGUCGAGGGAGAAAGCCCGCAAGGGUGAGUAAACCGGCGAACGGGUGCGUAACACGUGGAUAAUCUACCUUCCUGACUGGGACAACUGGCCGAAAGGCUUGCUAAUACCAGAUAAGACCACGGCGUCUUUGGACGCUGAGGGAAAAGGUGGCCUCUGCAUGCAAGCUAUCGCAGGGAGAUGAGUCCGCGGCCCAUCAGCUAGUUGGC